rnacentral:lncRNA from 1 species
UUCAAGGUGAGUGGUCCAGGUGAGGACAGUUCAGCUCCACACAGUCACUCAAAGACACAGGUUUCUUUCAUCAGGUUCCUCCACACCCUGGGGCUUGUCUUCAUCUGCAUGGUCAAGCCGAAUCUCAGCCACACAAGAACGGGAAGGAGUGGAUGUCCAGAACAAGUAAUCCUUUCUCAUAACCGCCAGUACAUAGUUGUGUAUUCCAGUUGUGAUGUGUCUCCGGUUGUGGCAUGUGGGAUGCCGCCUCAACAUGGCCCGACAAGUGGUGCCAUGUCCGCACCCAGGAUUCGAACUGGUGAAACUCUGGGCCGCUGAAGUGGAGUGCGCGAACCCAACAACUCGGCCAUGGAGCUGGCCCCUGGAAUAUUUUUAAAGAUGGUAUAAUUUUGAAAUAUUUUGAAGGGUGGUACCCUGUGCCAAUUAGUUUUGCAAUUUGCAG